rnacentral:rRNA from 1 species
CAGAGGUCCCAAGCGUUGUUCGGAUUCACUGGGCGUAAAGGGUGCGUAGGUGGUCGGGUAAGUCUGAUGUGAAAUCUCCGAGCUCAACUCGGAAAUGGCAUUGGAUACUAUUCGGCUAGAGGAUUGGAGGGGGGGACUGGAAUUCUCGGUGUAGCAGUGAAAUGCGUAGAUAUCGAGAGGAUCACCAGUGGCGAAGGCGAGUCCCUGGACAACUCCUGACACUGAGGCACGAAAGCUAGGGGAGCAAACAGGAUUAGAUACCCUGGUAGUCCUAGCCGUAAACGGUGCUUGCUUGCUGUAAAAGGAAUCGACCCCUUUUGUGGCGAAGCUAACGCGAUAAGCAAGCCGCCUGGGAAGUACGGUCGCAAGAUUA